UUGCAGCACCUACGACGACUUCACCGCCAACAACAACACCGCUGCCUACAACAACGCCAGCGCCGACAACGACUCCAGAGCCGACAACGACGACCCCUCCACCUCCUCCCCCUUCCACAAUUAAGAUUGGAGAAAAAGGAGAUCCAGGACCGAAAGGGGAAAAGGGGGAAAAAGGUGUACCUGGUCCAAAAGGCUCGGAGGGAGAACCCGGAGUUAAGGGCCGACCAGGUAUCGAAGGACCAAAGGGAGAGAAAGGAUAUCCUGGAAGACCAGGUCCCCCG